rnacentral:rRNA from 1 species
UACGUAGGUGGCAAGCGUUGUCCGGAUUUACUGGGCGUAAAGAGCGCGCAGGCGGUCUUGCAAGUCGCGUGUGAAAGCCCCCGGCUCAACUGGGGAGGGUCACGCGAUACUGCUCGACUCGAAGGCAGGAGAGGGAAGUGGAAUUCCCGGUGUAGUGGUGAAAUGCGUAGAUAUCGUCCAGAACACCGAUAGCGAAGGCAGCUUACUAAGGAGUAACUGACGCUGAGGCACGAAAGUGUGGGGAUCAAACAGG